rnacentral:rRNA from 1 species
UUAAGCGACUAAGCGUACACGGUGGAUGCCCUGGCAGUCAGAGGCGAUGAAGGACGUGCUAAUCUGCGAAAAGCGUCGGUAAGGUGAUAUGAACCGUUAUAGCCGGCGAUGUCCGAAUGGGGAAACCCAGUGUGAUUCGUCACACUAUCGUUAACUGAAUACAUAGGUUAACGAGGCGAACCGGGGGAACUGAAACAUCUAAGUACCCCGAGGAAAAGAAAUCAACCGAGAUUCCCCCAGUAGCGGCGAGCGAACGGGGAGCAGCCCAGAGUCUGAAUCAGCUUGUGUGUUAGUGGAACGGUCUGGAAAGUCCGACGGUACAGGGUGAUAGUCCCGUACACCAAAAUGCACAGGCUGUGAACUCGAAGAGUAGGGCGGGACACGUGGUAUCCUGUCUGAAUAUGGGGGGACCAUCCUCCAAGGCUAAAUACUCCUGACUGACCGAUAGUGAACCAGUACCGUGAGGGAAAGGCGAAAAGAACCCCGGCGAGGGGAGUGAAAAAGAACCUGAAACCGUGUACGUACAAGCAGUGGGAGCACCUUCGGGUGUGACUGCGUACCUUUUGUAUAAUGGGUCAGCGACUUAUAUUCUGUAGCAAGGUUAACCGUAUAGGGGAGCCGCAGGGAAACCGAGUCUUAACUGGGCGUUAAGUUGCAGGGUAUAGACCCGAAACCCGGUGAUCUAGCCAUGGGCAGGUUGAAGGUUGGGUAACACUAACUGGAGGACCGAACCGACUAAUGUUGAAAAAUUAGCGGAUGACUUGUGGCUGGGGGUGAAAGGCCAAUCAAACCGGGAGAUAGCUGGUUCUCCCCGAAAGCUAUUUAGGUAGCGCCUCGUGAAUUCAUCUUCGGGGGUAGAGCACUGUUUCGGCUAGGGGGUCAUCCCGACUUACCAACCCGAUGCAAACUACGAAUACCGAAGAAUGUUAUCACGGGAGACACACGGCGGGUGCUAACGUCCGUCGUGAAGAGGGAAACAACCCAGACCGCCAGCUAAGGUCCCAAAGUCAUGGUUAAGUGGGAAACGAUGUGGGAAGGCACAGACAGCCAGGAUGUUGGCUUAGAAGCAGCCAUCAUUUAAAGAAAGCGUAAUAGCUCACUGGUCGAGUCGGCCUGCGCGGAAGAUGUAACGGGGCUAAACCAUGCACCGAAGCUGCGGCAGCGACACUAUGUGUUGUUGGGUAGGGGAGCGUUCUGUAAGCCUGCGAAGGUGACCUGUGAGGGUUGCUGGAGGUAUCAGAAGUGCGAAUGCUGACAUAAGUAACGAUAAAGCGGGUGAAAAGCCCGCUCGCCGGAAGACCAAGGGUUCCUGUCCAACGUUAAUCGGGGCAGGGUGAGUCGACCCCUAAGGCGAGGCCGAAAGGCGUAGUCGAUGGGAAACAGGUUAAUAUUCCUGUACUUGGUGUUACUGCGAAGGGGGGACGGAGAAGGCUAUGUUAGCCGGGCGACGGUUGUCCCGGUUUAAGCAUGUAGGCUGGUUGUCCAGGCAAAUCCGGAUAAUCAAGGCUGAGGUGUGAUGACGAGGCACUACGGUGCUGAAGUAACAAAUGCCCUGCUUCCAGGAAAAGCCUCUAAGCAUCAGGUAACAUCAAAUCGUACCCCAAACCGACACAGGUGGUCAGGUAGAGAAUACCAAGGCGCUUGAGAGAACUCGGGUGAAGGAACUAGGCAAAAUGGUGCCGUAACUUCGGGAGAAGGCACGCUGGUGUGUAGGUGAAGUCCCUGCGGAUGGAGCUGAGACCAGUCGAAGAUACCAGCUGGCUGCAACUGUUUAUUAAAAACACAGCACUGUGCAAACACGAAAGUGGACGUAUACGGUGUGACGCCUGCCCGGUGCCGGAAGGUUAAUUGAUGGGGUUAUCCGUAAGGAGAAGCUCUUGAUCGAAGCCCCGGUAAACGGCGGCCGUAACUAUAACGGUCCUAAGGUAGCGAAAUUCCUUGUCGGGUAAGUUCCGACCUGCACGAAUGGCGUAAUGAUGGCCAGGCUGUCUCCACCCGAGACUCAGUGAAAUUGAACUCGCUGUGAAGAUGCAGUGUACCCGCGGCAAGACGGAAAGACCCCGUGAACCUUUACUAUAGCUUGACACUGAACAUUGAGCCUUGAUGUGUAGGAUAGGUGGGAGGCUUUGAAGCGUGGACGCCAGUCUGCGUGGAGCCAACCUUGAAAUACCACCCUUUAAUGUUUGAUGUUCUAACGUUGGCCCCUUACCGGGGUUGCGGACAGUGUCUGGUGGGUAGUUUGACUGGGGCGGUCUCCUCCCAAAGCGUAACGGAGGAGCACGAAGGUUAGCUAAUCCUGGUCGGACAUCAGGAGGUUAGUGCAAUGGCAUAAGCUAGCUUGACUGCGAGCGUGACGGCGCGAGCAGGUGCGAAAGCAGGUCAUAGUGAUCCGGUGGUUCUGAAUGGAAGGGCCAUCGCUCAACGGAUAAAAGGUACUCCGGGGAUAACAGGCUGAUACCGCCCAAGAGUUCAUAUCGACGGCGGUGUUUGGCACCUCGAUGUCGGCUCAUCACAUCCUGGGGCUGAAGUAGGUCCCAAGGGUAUGGCUGUUCGCCAUUUAAAGUGGUACGCGAGCUGGGUUUAGAACGUCGUGAGACAGUUCGGUCCCUAUCUGCCGUGGGCGCUGGAGAAUUGAGGGGGGCUGCUCCUAGUACGAGAGGACCGGAGUGGACGCAUCACUGGUGUUCGGGUUGUCAUGCCAAUGGCACUGCCCGGUAGCUAAAUGCGGAAGAGAUAAGUGCUGAAAGCAUCUAAGCACGAAACUUGCCCCGAGAUGAGUUCUCCCUGAGACUUUAAGUCUCCUGAAGGAACGUUGAAGACGACGACGUUGAUAGGCCGGGUGUGUAAGCGCAGCGAUGCGUUGAGCUAACCGGUACUAAUGAACCGUGAGGCUUAACCU